CAGCUUGUUGGUGAGGUAAUGGCUCACCAAGGCGUCGACGGGUAGCCGGCCUGAGAGGGUGACCGGCCACACUGGGACUGAGACACGGCCCAGACUCCUACGGGAGGCAGCAGUGGGGAAUAUUGCACAAUGGGCGCAAGCCUGAUGCAGCAACGCCGCGUGAGGGACGACGGCCUUCGGGUUGUAAACCUCUUUUAGCAGGGAAGAAGCGAAAGUGACGGUACCUGCAGAAAAAGCGCCGGCUAACUACGUGCCAGCAGCCGCGGUAAUACGUAGGGCGCAAGCGUUAUCCGGAAUUAUUGGGCGUAAAGAGCUCGUAGGCGGUUUGUCGCGUCUGCUGUGAAAUCCCGAGGCUCAACCUCGGGUCUGCAGUGGGUACGGGCAGACUAGAGUGCGGUAGGGGAGAUUGGAAUUCCUGGUGUAGCGGUGGAAUGCGCAGAUAUCAGGAGGAACACCGAUGGCGAAGGCAGAUCUCUGGGCCGUAACUGACGCUGAGGAGCGAAAGGGUGGGGAGCAAACAGGCUUAGAUACCCUGGUAGUCCACCCCGU
rnacentral:rRNA from 1 species